UGGAAGCCAAAGUUGGGGCUGACGUAGGACCGCACGGCCUUGGUGGCGGCCAGGCAGCCCUCCCAGCCGAGCUCGGUCACCGUCAUGAGGACUCUUUUUGGGAGCCCAUCCCCACCUCCCACAGGAAGGAUGCAAACCAGGGAUGCGAGGCAGUGACAGAAGCUCUCACCAAUGGACGAGGCAGCCUCCCCCACCGAGCCGGCAUUCAUGGAUGAACUUGAUGCACUCCUUAAAAUGCUGCAGCCUGCAAGGAGAGAGGCAGGGAGAGCAGACAGCAUCCCCCAGGGCCUGCACAUAUUGCCUACACAAGUCCGAGCUCUCCAGAUCCCAGACCUCCCCUGCAGCCCCUUGGCUGGGACCAGCAGGGAUGCACCUUGCUUGCAAGGACACGAUGCUUUUGCCUCCAGCUCCCUCGACACGCUCGCCGCCAGCCUCCAGCCUGCUCCACGCACACAGCGUCGCUCUCCCAGCCCAUCCCAGAGGGAGGCAGUAGACAUGCCACAAAUGCAAAGAAGUGAGAGAGAGAAAAAAAAUAACAACCAAAAAACCCUGUUCUUGCUGAGGCAGGGCUUUCUUGUAAAGCUUCUCUUUCCGCUCAGUGGGAGCAUGAGCAAGCAGAAUCACAACCCCAGGCACGGCUGCUCCCAAGGAUGCUGGAAAAGCAGCAACUCCACAAGCGGGCUUCACUCUGGUCACUGUGCAUGAAGAUUUGUUCCUUUUUAGGGUUUGACUGGUGAGAAAAAAACCCUUGGAGUCACCCAUUUUCUGGUUGCAAGGGAUGGUUUAGGGAUGCCCGUCGCCCAAAGCAGCAGCGGGGUGCUGCAACCCGCUGGUGCCAGCAGCGCCUGCGCCCCAUCGCACCCCAUCGCACCCCAGCACCGUGUCCGUGAAAGCCUGGGGCUUCCUUGCAGCACCGCUCGCCCGCUUCAUCUCGAGAACAUCAUUAAAGGACUUAUGAGUAUCUAUGCUUUGGGUGGGGAAAAAACUAUUCAUUUUAAUAAAUACUUUAUUUCUCUUUCCAAGGAGAAUAUCUGAAAGACCAACCCAAAUCAUUGGUUUUCUAAACCAACAAAAAUGCUCCAAUUUUCAACCCUGCCAAGUAGAAUAAUUUUGAAAUUUGAUGGAAAAUUAAAUUUACUGACUGUAAACACACAUAGAAAGAGAUUUGAAGCUCUACAAAUGCUAUUAACUGCCUGAAAAUGAACUGCAGCUUUUGUCAAGCUCAGCGGUGAUACCAAGUUUUUGCAGCACGAGUGAACUGGACCUUCACCCUGCAGAAUUUGAACAUUUAUUGACUGAUAACUACCAAAAACCUCGGGAGGCAAAAGGAUGGCAAAUGACUUACAGGUUUUGACUGGAUGAAUCCGAGGCUGAGAUACAGAGAUAGGUCAUGUCCUGCAACACAAAGGUGGUUGCGGUAGUAAGACACUUCCAAGAAACACAAAAUUCCCCAUUUGUCUCUUUCCCUCUCCUCAGCUGACCCUUCGGUGAUGGGAAAGCUGAAAUCUGCUUUCAGGUGCCAUCACCCCACUCCCCAAUGGUAGAGAGAACCAUGAAGGUCAUGUCCAUCCCACCCCAGGCUAUUUCCCCCCCAUUUCAGCCCAGAGGAGAGGCCAGGUUGGAGGGAACAACUGUGAUGCUCAGGAGCCCCCCAAAACUGAGCCAUCCCUUCACCGGGGCCCCGACUGGUGACCCCAGUCAGGAAGACAUGUGUGAACACGCACUGAUGAUGUCACUCUCAUCAAUGAGUUAUUUCCUCCUGGUCUUUUUAAUACACAAUAAAUCAUCCUGCCACAUGUUGGCGUAGGUCA